rnacentral:rRNA from 1 species
GACGAACGCUGGCGGCGCGCUUAACACAUGCAAGUCGAGCGAAGCGGCGGACGGGUGAGUAACACGUGAGUAACCUGCCUUAGACAUUGGGAUAGCCUCGGGAAACCGGGAUUAAUACCAAAUGGUCUAAGAUGGACUCGCGUCCCAUUAGCUAGGUGGUGAGGUAACGGCCCACCAAGGCGACGAUGGGUAGCCGGCCUGAGAGGGUGAACGGCCACAUUGUAACUGAGAAACGGUCCAAACUCCGACGUGGGGCAGCAGUGGGGAAUAUUGCACAAUGGAGGGAGCUCUGAUGCAGCGACGCCGCGUGGGGGCUGAGGGCUUUCGAGUUGUAAACCUCUUUCCUAUCGAACACUAUAGGGUGGGUUGAGGGUAGGUGGAGAAGAAGCACCGGCUAACUACGUGCCAGCAGCCGCGGUAAUAC